rnacentral:rRNA from 1 species
CCUACGGGAGGCAGCAGUGAGGAAUAUUGGUCAAUGGACGAGAGUCUGAACCAGCCAAGUAGCGUGAAGGAUGACUGCCCUAUGGGUUGUAAACUUCUUUUAUAUGGGAAUAAAAUGUUCCACGUGUGGGAUUUUGUAUGUACCAUAUGAAUAAGGAUCGGCUAACUCCGUGCCAGCAGCCGAGGUAAUACGGAGGAUCCGAGCGUUACCCGGAUUUUUUGGGUUUAAAGGGAGCGUAGGUGGAUUGUUAAGUCAGUUGUGAAAGUUUGCGGCUCAACCGUAAAAUUGCAGUUGAAACUGGCAGUCUUGAGUACAGUAGAGGUGGGCGGAAUUCGUGGUGUAGCGGUGAAAUGCUUAGAUAUCACGAAGAACUCCGAUUGCGAAGGCAGCUCACUGGACUGCAACUGACACUGAGGCUCGAAAGUGUGGGUAUCAAACAGGAUUAGAUACCCGUGUAGUC